UAGGGAAUCUUCGGCAAUGGGGGGAACCCUGACCGAGCAACGCCGCGUGAGUGAAGAAGGUUUUCGGAUCGUAAAGCUCUGUUGUUAAGGAAGAACGAGUGUGAGAAUGGAAAGUUCAUGCUGUGACGGUACUUAACCAGAAAGGGACGGCUAACUACGUGCCAGCAGCCGCGGUAAUACGUAGGUCCCGAGCGUUGUCCGGAUUUAUUGGGCGUAAAGCGAGCGCAGGCGGUUAGAAAAGUCUGAAGUGAAAGGCAGUGGCUCAACCAUUGUAGGCUUUGGUAACUGUUUAACUUGAGUGCAGAAGGGGAGAGUGGAAUUCCAUGUGUAGCGGUGAAAUGCGUAGAUAUAUGGAGGAACACCAGUGGCGAAAGCGGCUCUCUGGUCUGUAACUGACGCUGAGGCUCGAAAGCGUGGGGAGCGAACAGG
rnacentral:rRNA from 1 species